AUGACAAAAGAUAACCUUAAGAAAAGAGGGAUUGAAAAACCCCCUGAGUGUGUCUUUCGCACAGAGCAUGAAACUGUUAGCCAUUUAUUUUUUGAGUGUCUUGUCGCUAGGAUUGUUUGGCAGCAUAUUUCUGACUUCGGGUAUUACCCUGGGGGGAAUUUCUUCUCCAUUGCUAGAUAUUGGCCUGCUAGUAAAAAUCAUGCCGCCACUAAUUCUGUCUGUGCCAGUGCAUUGUGGAGCAUCUGGAAAAUUAGAAACGCCCAUGUCUUCAAUAAUGCUAAACGGACUGACAUGAAUGCAAUCUGGUGUAUGAUACAGGUGAAUAUCAGGAGAUGGAUGAUCCUCUACAAGGGGGAUCACUUGACAAAAAUGGAGAGAUUAUCCCACUUGAUUACUCAGGUGAUUCAGACCCCUUUCAGGCUGGGAGUGGGAUGA
rnacentral:rRNA from 1 species